UUCAAAUUUAUUUGUAUAGCGCUAAAAUUUUUUACAAUUGACCAUGUCUCAAAGCAGCUUUACAGAACAUUUUUUCCUGAAGAUUCUGAAUCUUGUGGCCAGAAAAUUGUACGAAAGUUUCAAUAUGUAAGGAGAAUUACAGAUAUUUAGCAAAAUGUAACUUCAAUCCAUCUAUUUACACUGAUGCUCAACUUAUGUAAGGUCGCCAGGGAACCUGGGGCUUAUCCCAAGAGACUCGGGGCACAAGGCAUGGGACAUGAUGGACAGGGUCCAAACACAUCUCAGGGCACAAUCACAUACACUAGAGAUCAUUUAGAGAUGCCAGUCAGUAUACAACCUGCAUGUCUUCUGACUGGAGGAGGAAACCCUGAUACUCCACAUACACCGGGAGAAGGUGGGAAUCGAACACCAAACCCUGGAGAGUUUUAUUUACAAAAAAACUCCUCUUUCUACAUGGUUCCUGUUUCUUUGUAAAAACACACAUCCUGGGACACACGGCUCCUAGUUUGGCAACACUGUCACAUUCCUUUUUAAUCCUAUUUAUCCUUAAUCAACCUACGAACAAUUUUGGAAGACAUUUUGUUAAAAUGUGUUAGUUGGAGACUGACUGUAUAUCAAACAGAAAGCUACAGGGUACAAGAUGAAUAGGGGAUUUCGUUCCGUGACCCGUGUUCGAAUGGCUUCAAACUUGGAUAGACAUCAUUUUCCACCAGCGAGCUCGCUCACGUCUCCUCCAGGUUUGCGGCUCAGGUUUACACCUUCUGGAUUUUGGCACUCUUUAUCUCCAUCCACUUUCAGCACUUCCUGAUCUAAUGUAGCUGCAUUAUAAUAUUACUUAUCCUCUAUUAUUUUCUCUUCGACUCGGCUUUCGGGAGGUCGGAGUUCUCUGAAAGUUUGACGUGAACUGCAAAAGUUUUCACCCCCUUUUCCGUCUUCCUCCGACUCAGACUAUACGUCUUAACUAACUCUUAAUUUUUCCUUUCCUUUGUUGCUUUGCAUUUUUUUAAAUUAGUUUUCUAUUUUUUUUCCCAUUAUUAUUUCAAUGCCGUCUAAUUAAACACGUGUACCUGUUUCCCACAUUCAAAUCAUUCAAAUGUUCCUGAAGAAGAAACAGGAUUAAAAAGUGGUUUUGUUUUAUUUCAUAACGUUCCAGUGGAAGUGGUGAGCCGAUAAGAGUGGUGCAAACUGGACUGAACUGUCAAAAUGGACCAUUCUGGGACAGAAAACACACACACACACACACACACACACACACACACACAGCUCAUGGCUUUUCCCAGCUGCUACUGACCGAACCAAGCUGUGCAGCCAAUCAGCAACCAGCAUAAAGCUACUUACUCCAUUUUUUUUGUGCUAGAAGACCCUCCUAUGCACCAUAUCGUCUACAACUGGCUGUAGCUGCCCAGCGCAAAGGGCAAAACUAUUUUGUUGGUAAUGGAAUUUAUGUCAGGGGAUAAAUGGAGCUGUGACGCUCUAAUGCAGGAUGAGACUCGCGGAGGGAGCAAGAGAUAGUGGCAUAGUUUUUAAUGGACACCCUCAUAAAUGAAUCAUCACAUGUGUGCCUUGCCUUUUUUAUUCUCCCUGUACACUCACACUCACACAAACACUUAACACAUCUGGCAAGCCGGCACCCCAUUUAAAUAGAAAUGCAAUAUAAUAUCUUUUUUAUUUUUUUUAAUUUGUGCUGUAAAUAACAGUUUGUGUUGGUUGGGUUUCUUAGAUUACUCUAACCGCUAGAUUUCAGUGUACGGAGCCAUGUAUCACUCAGUUCACGACCAAACUAAAACAUUGUAAAAUCUAUUUCACGUAGGUGUUUUUUACUUUGACAAAAAGAAAAAAGAAGACAAUUUUCAUCUACAGUAUAUGCAUGAAUGUUAUUGGUGCAGUUACUUUCAUUCACUCAUCCUUAGGAACUGCCUGGUCAGAGCUGCUGUGGUUUUAGUGAGGUUUGUUUAUAUUCAAGGAAAUAGAAACUAUAUACAGUAGAAGCCUUUAUUUUGUUUUCACAUAUCCAUUACAGCACAGUGAAUUUCUUUCUUUGCAUAUCACAACUUUUGGAGGUUGGGGUCAGAAUACAGGGUCAGCGGUCCUGGAACAGUAAGAGGUAAAGACCUUGAUCAAGGGUCCAACAGUGGCAGCUUGGCAGUGCUGGGGCUUGAACCCUGAUCCUACAAUCAACAAGGCAUGGAUGCUUGCCCAUUUUAAGAAAGGCCACUUUACUCACACUUAAUUAACAUAGAAAAUAUUACAGGUGCAAAGACAACUAAAACGGAACGAGUGGGAUUGAAAAAAAAACUCCCAGGAUUAGGCCACGCCCACUCCGGGUUCAAAUCUGAAUAGAGAUAUAUUAGAGCACUAGACUAAGACUGAGGGUAGAUAGAUCACUAACACUCAACACUGAAUAACGCAAUAAAAUCUCAAAAACCAAACUGGCACAAACCGUCAUUUCUACAACACAAACUGAAUGUGAUUUUUAAUUUUUUUUCUUAUAAGGAAUGGGUCAACUUCACACUGGUACUAGAAGAGUGAAAUAUAAAGUACAGAGUUUAUUAUACACACACAAACUACACUCAUGUCUUUAAUCUGACUCUGUUCUACUUUUCUAUCUGUCUUUAAAAGUAAUGUAUACUGUAUGUUGUUAGUUUUGGUAGAACGUUAUGAGUCUGAGACACGAGUGUGAUGUGAUUCUGACGCUUCUGUAUUCAGGCUCAUGGAUUAGACCCCGAGUUCUAGCUACGUGCACGUAAGCACCGCUUCAUAAUCCACUUCUGUUCAUUCAGAGCAGCCUUAUGGCUCUUUUCUUUUUUUUUUGUAUGAUAUCUUAGAAGUCUUGCUGGAAUGGUAUGUGAUGUACCAAGUAAGUAAAAGAUUUUUAUCACUCGUGAAAAUACAAAAUUUGAAUGUAUCUGA